rfam:Triticum aestivum genome assembly, contig: Triticum_aestivum_CS42_TGACv1_scaffold_404934_5BL
UACGUACUCCCUCCGUUCGGAAUUACUUGUCUCGAAUAUGGAUGUAUCUAGAUACAUCCAUAUUCGAGACAAGUAAUUCCGAACGGAGGGAGUACGUA